rnacentral:rRNA from 1 species
UAAGUGCUGAAAGCAUCUAAGCACGAAACUUGCCCCGAGAUGAGUUCUCCCUGACCCUUUAAGGGUCCUGAAGGAACGUUGAAGACGACGACGUUGAUAGGUCGGGUGUGUAAGCGCAGCGAUGCGUUGAGCUAACCGGUACUAAUGAACCGUGAGGCUUAACCUU